GGCUGCGUAGCUCAGUGGUAGAGCAUUGCUCUCAUGAGGCAGGGGUCCCGAGUUCAACUCUCGGCGCAGCCA
rnacentral:tRNA from 1 species